GAUGAAGAACGCAGCGAAAUGCGAUAAGUAAUGUGAAUUGCAGAAUUCAGUGAAUCAUCGAAUCUUUGAACGCACAUUGCGCCCCUUGGUAUUCCGAGGGGCAUGCCUGCUCGAGCGUCAUUAUAACCCCUCAAGCUCAGCUUGGUGUUGGGGCCUGCUGCACUGGCAGCCCUUAAAAUCAGUGGCGGCGCCAUCUGGCUCUAAGCGUAGUAAUUCUUCUCGCUAUGGAGUCCUGGUGGAUGCUUGCCAUCAACCCCCAAUUUUUCUAUGGUUGACCUCGGAUCAGGUAGGGAUACCCGCUGAACUUAAGCAUAUCAAUAAGCGGAGA
rnacentral:misc_RNA from 1 species